UCAUGAAUAUUAAUUAGGUCACUUAACUGGACGCUAAGAGACAACGUCACCAGAAACUUAAUUAAUAUCAUAAGUAAAGUCUCGACCAUCAGUUCUGCAUUUACUAUUCGUAACUUCGCUAAUUUUUAUAAUAUAGGACCGGAAGUUUUCAACAGCUAAAUAGAGGUGCGCUAUCAGUAGGAUGGUGCUUGGACGUGACCUCCUUUCAGUUAAUUCAGAGAAACAAUGAUUUGACUACUAUGAGAUACAACACUUUCUUGGUAAGUGAAUCCAACAUUUAUUUAAUUUGUUUUAUACAAAAUUAAUCAAGGAUGAAGAGGCUGAAAAAAGCUGUACAGACAUUUCCAACACCGUUUGUAGAAAGAGAAGCUCUUUGGACAGCUCCAGCUCAGUGACUUUUAUUGUUGUUGUGCCAUUAAUUGCAAUGCUGGCAUUCAUUGUGGGUCUACUGGACAAAGUCAAAACCAAGUAAAACAGCAGGGUGACAGUGAGGAGGCCGUUCCUUGAGCAAAACUCUGCGGAAAGAGAAUCAUUAAGAAAACUUGUUCCUUUGAAUGGAGAAGAAUCGUUGAAGAAAACCUUUGAUUUCUUUGAAGAAAUAGAUGUCCACUUUCAUAACAGAUUCUUUAGGUUCAUUGGACUGAGUGAUAAUUCAAUCAAAAGUGCAGAGUCUCUUUUUCCAGAAGACAGAAUUUACAAACUGUUAAAAAUCUGGAUGGAAAAGGAGGGACUGAAGGCAGAUUUCAACAGUCUUAUUGAAGCAUUAAUCUAUUUAGACCAAAGGCUGUCAGCAGAAAAUAUCAUUGCAAAGGCAAUUAGUAAUGGUUACUUUAAAUAUGAAAAUGAGUGAGUGGAAACAUGCAAAUAUUGUCACCACCAUAUUCUCCUCAGAGAGCAAAGAUAUGCUUUUGAUUUUAUUUAUUUAUUGUACAUGGCUUACCUUAGAUAAGAUGUUAUGCCACUUUACAAAAAUUAAUUACAUUUGAAAAAUAUAUAUAUUUAAAACUUGUAUUAUUAUGA